UGCCCCAUGGCCCAGCUGGUUAAGGCGUUCGACUGUUACGUAAUACUGGUGUCCCAGUCACGUGAUCGAGAGAUCACCAGUUCGAUCCUGGUUGGGGCAG